rnacentral:tRNA from 1 species
GCCGGAGUGGUGAAACGGCAGACACUGAUCGCUUAAAACGAUCUGCCCGCAAGGGCGUGGGGGUUCGACUCCCUCCUCCGGCA